rnacentral:rRNA from 1 species
CGGACGGGUGAGUAACGCGUGGAUAACCUGCCUUUCACAGGGGGAUAACAGCUGGAAACGGUUGCUAAUACCGCAUGAGCCUCUUUUGUCGCAUGACGGGAGAGGGAAAGAGAAAUCGGUGAGAGAUGGAUCCGCGUCCGAUUAGCUAGUUGGAGGGGUAACAGCCCACCAAGGCGACGAUCGGUAGCCGACCUGAGAGGGUGGACGGCCACAUUGGGACUGAGACACGGCCCAAACUCCUACGGAAGGCAGCAG